rnacentral:rRNA from 1 species
GACGAACGCUGGCGGCGUGCUUAACACAUGCAAGUCGAACGGAAAGGCCCUGCUUUUGUGGGGUGCUCGAGUGGCGAACGGGUGAGUAACACGUGAGUAACCUGCCCUUGACUUUGGGAUAACUUCAGGAAACUGGGGCUAAUACCGGAUAGGAGCUCCUGCUGCAUGGUGGGGGUUGGAAAGUUUCGGCGGUUGGGGAUGGACUCGCGGCUUAUCAGCUUGUUGGUGGGGUAGUGGCUUACCAAGGCUUUGACGGGUAGCCGGCCUGAGAGGGUGACCGGCCACAUUGGGACUGAGAUACGGCCCAGACUCCUACGGGAGGCAGCAGUGGGAAAUAUUGCACAAUGGGCGGAAGCCUGGUGCAGCAACGCCGCGUGCGGGAUGACGGCCUUCGGGUUGUAAACCGCUUUCGCCUGUGACGAAGCGUGAGUGACGGUAAUGGGUAAAGAAGCACCGGCUAACUACGUG